rnacentral:lncRNA from 1 species
AAGCGAAGGGAGCGCUUGCAGGACAAAGUCAGGACUAAGGGUGGGGAUUGUGGAAGAUUCUGGAAGCUUCUCACUCCACUGCAGGGCCCACCCACACCUCAGGAAGAAGACUGUAGCUUUCAUCACAUCCUCCAAAGUGUUGUGACCACAAACAGUAAACAAACCCUGUGUUCUAGGCUUCUGAGCAGGUUUCCGGAAUUUCACUCUGGCAACAGUGCACGUAGUAGAGCAGUCUCACCAGUGUCCCUGGUGGAAAAACGUGUGCCGUGGCAAGAUAGUGUGUGUAAAUAUUUGAUAUCUGACAUUUGGUUGUUUAAUAAGAUUGCCUGCCUCUCCGCAGAAGAGUUAGAAUGUGCCAGCCUCCACUCGGCCCAGGCCUCGGAGUCCCAGGGACCCAGCUGUCCCACCUGUGCUUUCAGCCGCCUCCAGCAGGGAACUGGAGGGCUGGGGAGAAGCUGGAAAUGCCUGCCAUCUGCAGUAGUUGGUUAUAAGGGCAGGCGUGCUAGUCAGAGGCUCCGAUGA